rnacentral:rRNA from 1 species
AGCAGCCGCGGUAAUUCCAGCUCCAAUAGCGUAUAUUAAAGUUGUUGCAGUUAAAAAGCUCGUAGUUGAAUUUCGGGAUCAGUACGCUGGUCAUGCCUUUGGUAUGCACUGGUGUCACUGGUUUCUCCCUUCUGAAGAACCGUGAUGUCAUUAAUUUGGUGUCGCGGGGAAUCAGGACUGUUACUUUGAAAAAAUUAGAGUGUUUAAAGCAGGCUCACGCUUGAAUACAUUAGCAUGGAAUAAUGAAAUAGGACGUUUGACCCUAUUUUGUUGGUUUCUAGGAUCGACGUAAUGAUUAAUAGGGAUAGUUGGGGGCAUUAGUAUUCAAUUGUCAGAGGUGAAAUUCUUGGAUUUAUUGAAGACUAACUACUGCGAAAGCAUUUGCCAAGGAUGUUUUCAUUAAUCAAGAACGAAGGUUAGGGGAUCGAAGACGAUCAGAUACCGUCGUAGUCUUAACCAUAAACUAUGCCGACUAGGGAUCGGAUGAUGUUAAUUUUAUAAUGACUC